UACAGAGGGGGCAAGCGUUGUUCGGAAUUACUGGGCGUAAAGGGCGCGUAGGCGGCCUUCUAAGUCGAACGUGAAAUCCCCGGGCUCAACCCGGGAACUGCGUCCGAUACUGGCAGGCUUGAAUCCGGGAGAGGGAUGUGGAAUUCCAGGUGUAGCGGUGAAAUGCGUAGAUAUCUGGAGGAACACCGGUGGCGAAGGCGGCAUCCUGGACCGGUAUUGACGCUGAUGCGCGAAAGCCAGGGGAGCAAACGGGG
rnacentral:rRNA from 1 species